rnacentral:rRNA from 1 species
AUUGAACGCUGGCGGCGUGCCUAACACAUACAAGUCGAGCGGUAACAGGUGUAGCAAUACAUGCUGACGAGCGGCGAACGGGUGAGUAAUGCUUCGGAAUCUACCUUAUGGUGGGGAAUAACUAGCCGAAAGGUUAGCUAAUACCGCAUACGUCCUACGGGAGAAAGCAGGGGAUCGCAACACCUUGCGCCAAAAGAUGAGCCGAAGUCGGAUUAGCUAGUUGGUAGGGUAACGGCCUACCAAGGCGACGAUCCGUAGCUGGUCUGAGAGGACGACCAGCCACACUGGGACUGAGACACGGCCCAGACUCCUACGGGAGGCAGCAGUGGGGAAUAUUGGACAAUGGGGGAAACCCUGAUCCAGCGACGCCGCGUGUGUGAAGAAGGCCUGCGGGUUGUAAAGCACUUUUAGUGGGGAUGAAAUGUGCAGGGUUAAUACCUCUGCAUUUUGACCUAACCCACAGAAAAAGCACCGGCUAACUCUGUGCCAGCAGCCGCAGUAA